UCCCCGUUAUCCGAGGCGGUUUCGCUAGAGUGCCCGGCUUGACCCGCUGGCAACUAACGAUAAGGGUUGCGCUCGUUGCGGGACUUAACCCAACAUCUCACGACACGAGCUGACGACAGCCAUGCAGCACCUCCACAGCAGUUCUUGCGAAAAGGGAUAUUUCUACCCCGGUCCACUGUGCUUCGAGCCCAGGUAAGGUUCUUCGCGUUGCGUCGAAUUGAACCACAUGCUCCACCGCUUGUGCGGGCCCCCGUCAAUUCCUUUGAGUUUCAGUCUUGCGACCGUACUCCCCAGGCGGAAUGCUAAAAGCGUUAGCUGCAAUACUAAGAGGACAAGCCCCCUAACAUCUAGUUCUCAUCGUUUAGGGCGUGGACUAC
rnacentral:misc_RNA from 1 species